AAAUCAGAAAUCAGAAACAGAGGGGGGAGUCACCACAGAGAGAGAGAGAGAGAGAGAGACCCAAAGGCCAAAACCUCUUCUGUUUUCCCUUGGAUCUGAGACAGUGAAUCCCAAACUGACAGCAGUGGCAAAUAUAAAACAGUUUCGGUUCUAUUUUGGUUUGUUUAUUUGUACAGAUUGUAAAGACAAGGCAGAGAUCUGGGAACUGCCGCAAUCUCAAUCCAAAGUCUUAUCGACUCGUGCCUGCAGGAUUCGUGAUAAUUGGUGGUACCUACUUGGCUGCUGCAUUGUGAUACCUCUGUCCAUGCAGUGACAAUUUCACCAAAUUCGAUGUGAUCAUUGAAUUGAGUUACAUUGCAAGUUUGAUGUUGGCUGUUCUGGCCAGUAUGCAAGCACCAAGGAACGAAAAUUAUAUUUUCUAAAUUUCGACAUUGGCAAGAUAUGCCCUAUGAAAAGUUAUCAAAUUUGAUGAAAAGCAGAAGAAAUGGUAUUUAGUAGAAUCGCAGAAACAAUCUCUGGUGCAUCGAAUCUGUUAUCUGCUACACAGUCUUCUGCAGCUUCAUAUAUGUCGCCUGCAUUGUCACUGCAGGCAGAUAAAAAUGCUGCCCAUGGGUUUGGUUUUGUCAACUCUGGACACAAGAAUAAUUUGCGCCUCUCCUCAUCACUCCAAGAUUUCUCAUCAUAUCACCGGCUUGAUCCAGAAGCAGCUGAUCUUAUUUCUGAAAUUGAUAAGAGCAUGACCUAUACAAGACCCCCUCUACAGCGAGAAAAUGCUGGGUCAAGUUUCUCAAAGGAGAGGGGUUUGCCUGGUGGAACCCCAUUUUUGCGCAGAAAGUGGGUGCGACUAAUCAUUGUUUCCUUGUGCCUGCUUUUGUUCAUUUUUUUGACAUAUAUGGUUUGCAUGUAUAUUUAUUCAAAUUGGUCUAAAGGGGCCUCCAAGUUCUAUGUUGUUCUUGAUUGUGGAAGUACGGGAACUCGAGUUUAUGUUUAUCAGGCAUCAAUUGAUCACAAGAAUGAUGGUAGUCUGCCUAUUGUCAUGAAAUCAUUAACAGAAGGUCUUUCUAGAAGACCGAGUUCACAAAGUGGACGUGCUUAUGAUAGGAUGGAGACUGAGCCUGGCUUUCAUAAGUUAGUGCAUGAUAAAUCUGGCUUGAAAGCUGCCAUAAACCCACUUAUUUCAUGGGCAGAGAAGCAAAUUCCUGAACAUGCACAUAAGACUACUUCUCUUUUCCUUUAUGCUACAGCUGGUGUUCGCAGGUUGCCAAGUGCUGAUUCAAAAUGGCUUCUGGAAAAUGCCUGGUUGAUACUAAAGAAUUCACCAUUCUUGUGCCGCCGAGAGUGGGUUAGGAUUAUCAGUGGGACAGAGGAAGCUUACUUUGGGUGGACAGCCCUCAACUAUCGCACAGGCAUGUUGGGAGCCACACCUAAGAGGAAAACAUUUGGUGCACUUGACUUGGGUGGAUCAUCAUUACAAGUUACAUUUGAGAAUGAGAACCAUCAACAUAAUGAAACCAACUUAAACCUUAGAAUUGGAGUGGUUAAUCAUCAUCUUAGUGCCUAUUCUCUCUCAGGCUAUGGUUUGAAUGAUGCAUUUGACAAGUCUGUAGUUCAUUUAUUAAAGAGGCUCCCAGAUGGCUCCAAUACCAAUCUUGUUAAUGGAAAGAUAGAAAUUAAACAUCCUUGCUUGCACUCUGGCUACAAUGAACAAUAUAUCUGUUCUCAAUGUGCUUCUAAAGACCAAGAAAAUGGAAGUCCUGUAGUUGGAGGGAAAAUUUUGGAUAAAGGAGGAAAAUCAGGAAUUCCUGUGCAGCUUAUCGGUGCUCCAAAUUGGGAGCAAUGCAGUGCAAUUGCCAAAGUUGCUGUCAAUUUAUCUGAAUGGUCAAAUCUAUACCCAGGGAUUGAUUGUGAUUUGCAACCUUGUGCUCUUUCUGAUAGCUUGCCUCGUCCUAACGGCCAGUUCUAUGCUUUGUCUGGCUUUUUUGUGGUAUAUCGGUUCUUCAAUCUGUCUUCAGAUGCUGCACUUGAUGAUGUACUGGAGAAAGGUAGGGAUUUUUGUGAAAAAACCUGGGAAGUAGCGAAGAACAGUGUCGCUCCACAGCCAUUUAUUGAACAGUACUGCUUUAGAGCACCAUAUAUAGUAUCACUGUUGAGAGAGGGUUUGCACAUCACUGAUAGUCAACUUGUCAUUGGUUCUGGAAGUAUUACAUGGACAAAGGGUGUUGCACUGUUGGCAGCUGGGAAGUCAUUUUCAAGUAGACUGAGGCUCCGUGGUUAUCAAAUACUGCAGAUGAAGAUUGAUCCAAUAAUUCUUAUUGCCAUUCUUUUCAUGUCACUGAUUUUGCUUGUUUGUGCUUUAUCAUGUGUUAGUAAUUGGAUGCCGAGAUUUUUCCGGAGACCAUAUCUCCCUCUUUUCCGGCAUAACAGUGCAGCCAGCACAUCUGUUCUUAAUAUACCAUCUCCUUUCCGGUUCAAGCGCUGGAGUCCUAUCAACUCUGGGGAUGGAAGAGUUAAGAUGCCCCUAAGUCCAACAGUUAGUGGUUCUCAGCAGACACCAUUUGGCUUGGGACAUAGUCUUGGCAGCAGCAUCCAGCUCACAGAGUCUUCCUUGUACCCGUCAACCAGUAGUGUGUCACAUAGUUAUUCCUCCAGUAGCUUGGGGCAGAUGCAAUUUGACAGUAGUAGCAUGGGUUCCUUCUGGUCCCCUCACAGAAGUCAGAUGCGACUGCAAAGUAGGAGAUCACAGUCUCGAGAAGACCUUAAUUCCUCACUAGCUGAGACACAAAUGGUGAAAGUUUAGGGAUUGCUUUCCGAAGUUUUGAUGCUAUCAGCAUUACCGAAUUUAUGUCAAGCGGGAUGAUUCUAGGCUAAUGAUGAGAUGGUCUGGUCAUUGAUUCCUCUAGAUUUUGCUCAGAAGGGAUUCCAAGACUUGUUAACUGGCUCCCCAAUUUACCUGGGUUUUAAGUGCACAUCGUUUUUGAGAUUUCGAGCAUUGGUUACCAUUCUUAUCCUCAUGGGCUAGGAGAGAAAUCAUCAGCUUUUGCAGGGCAAGAAUGGGUCUCCCCAUAACCAUAAGCCUUCAGCUUUGAUUUUAUCCUGUAUGAUGCAAGAAAGAUAUGCACCCCCCGUCCACUUGCAAGAAAGAUAGGCUUUUUGUGCAGCUGCUGGCGUAAUCGGAACAAAGCUGAAGGUCCACAGCAAUUGAGCAACGUGCAGAAAUAAAUAUAAUCAUUUCUUGUUUUUUUUUUUCUCGUUUGGUUAUAGAGAUAACACGAUAAUUAGUAAUUAUGUACUAAGAAUCGAUAUUAAUCGAUUAUUUUGUUUUUCGACAGUAAAAUAAAUUUAAAAUUUAAACA